AGGGUUCCCCGGCUUCAGAAAUUAACCGAGUUUCAAACUCCCAACCAAUGUGACGUCACCAAAUUGUUGCCUGGCUGGGUACGCCCAGGGUGCGUCGAGCCCAGGUCCGGCGUUGCAGAUGCCCUCCUACUCUCAUGUAGUCCCUGCGGAGUACUCCACAGCUUGAGCAAAAUUAUACGUUCAAAACCCCAAUACGGAUUCCCAUUUGGCACGACAUGGCGCAGCGAAUGCUUAUGUAUGUGAAUGCAGAAUUAGUGUUUCAUCGAAUCUUGAACGCACAUCGCGCCCGCCAGUAUUUGGCGGGCACGCCUGUCCGAGCGUCAUUUAACCCUCGAAUCCUCGGAAGAUCGGCGUUGGGGAUCGGGACCCCUCACACGGGUGCCGGCCCCUAAAUACAGUGGCGGUCUCGCCGCAGCCUCUCCUGCGCAGUAGUUUGCACAACUCGCACCGGGAGCGCGGCGCGUCCACGUCCGUAAAACACCCAACUUUCUGAAAUGUUGACCUCGGAUCAGGUAGGAAUACCCGCUGAACUUAAGCUACGAAGAGGUUGGAAAAA
rnacentral:rRNA from 1 species